GACGAACGCUGGCGGCGUGCUUAACACAUGCAAGUCGAACGGUGACCUCGAGAGCUUGCUCUCGAGUGAUCAGUGGCGAACGGGUGAGUAACACGUGAGUAACCUGCCCCAGACUCUGGAAUAACCCCGGGAAACCGGAGCUAAUACCGGAUACGAGACGGAGUCGCCUGGCUACCAUCUGGAAAGUUUUUCGGUCUGGGAUGGGCUCACGGCCUAUCAGCUUGUUGGUGAGGUAAUGGCUCACCAAGGCGUCGACGGGUAGGCGGCCUGAGAGGGUGACCGGCCACACUGGGACUGGGACACGGCCCAGACUCCUACGGGAGGCAGCAGUGGGGAAUAUUGCACAAUGGGCGGAGGCCUGAUGCAGCAACGCCGCGUGAGGGAUGACGGCCUUCGGGUUGUAAACCUCUUUCGUAGAGGAGGAAGGGGCCGUGCAGAGCGGUCCUUGACCUAUUCUAGGAAGAAGCUUGGGCUAAGUUCGUGCCAGCAGCCGCAGUAAGAC
rnacentral:rRNA from 1 species